UGCAAUGAGAUGCUCUGCGCACUGCAACUAGCGAGUAGCCUCGGCUUGCCACAACUAGAAAAAAAGCACACACAGCAAUGGAGACCCAGCACAGACAUAAAUGAUAAAUGAAAUUAACUAACAUUAAAAAAGUUUUAAUGCUCACAAGUUAUUUUUAGCCACUUGACAGGGUGGUAAAAUAAAUAGAGGAGCUUAGAAUUACUGUGAUUUAAGCCAAUAUAAGAAUACACUUGUAGAGUCUAAGAAUUUGAAUUUGUGAUGGUUAGAAAACUCUGAAAAGACAUAAAAGCUUGAAAAUAUUGUUUAUUGAGAGAAAUUUUCUUAGGUGUAAACAGCAGUAGACGAAUUAUCACCAUUGUACUCUUCAUGGGGCAGUAACAUUAUAUUAAUAAUGAGCAGAACUAAAUGUCAGAUUCUGUGAGAUGAUCCCUUCACUCUGGACUGUGGGGUUAACAAGAUAAGUGAUAUCAGAAACAUCACUCCCUUUCCUAAUGUGAUCACACUGGGUUAUUAUUUUUCAGUUUCUGCAGAAAAUGGGACCAGCUUUGUCCUCCACCCUUGUUCCUCCCCUUUAGCAUUAAUAUUCAGAGUUGCGUUUUCUUUACAUCUGAGACAUUAGACACAAUUAACUAUUAAGGCACAGAAACAAACAAAUAACAUUUUUAUUUCCCCCUUAUUCUCCAUCUACAGAUGAACUAAUUAAAAUUCAGAGAUAAUAAUGUUUUCUAAAAUUUUUUUUUGGUAGUUUUGAGGGUACUGAUGUACCAACCCUGCUUAAAUACAUCAGCAAGUAACUAAUGAUCUUCAAAUAACGUCACAGCCAAGAUAAGCCAAAGAGAGUAAAUGUGAAGGUGUAUUUUGAGGAGGUCAUCUUCUAAAACACUGACUCCCCAAAAUACAAUAUAUGGGUUUCCCUUGUUGCUCAGAUGGUAGAGAAUCCACCUGCAAUUCAAAAGACCUGGGUUUGAUCCCUGGGUUGGGAAGAUCCCCUGGAAAAUGAAUUGGCAAACCACUCCAGUUUUCUUGCCAGGAGACUAUCCAAAAUAUAAUAUAUAAUAAUAUAUAUUUCCACAAAACAAACAUUCAGGAUUCAUACAAACCUCUAAUUUACUAUUUACUAUUUCAGCUUUUAUUAUUAGCUUGUUACAAAUAUUGGGGAAAAGAGACUUUCUACAUGCUUGUUCAAAUGUGUCUGUGUCAUUGAAGAGUCUAUUCUUUGACCCUAUAAUAAUUUUAAUAGGAAACAAAUUAUUAUAUUAAAAAAUUGUAAUUUGGAAUACUUUUGUAUAGUUUCAAGUUGUGUGUGUGUGCAUGUGUGUGUGCACCCACCAAAGUUUAUUUAAUUUUAUGACUACUAGAUACAUUCAAAGUGGUAAGCAAAAAAAGUUUGGAAUUUUAUUAAUUCAAUAUUGGAGAAUUGAUGCAAUUUUUCUAAAUCUUAUUUAAAUAAUUUGAUUUUACAUACUUAUCUCCUAUUCAAAGCUCAAAGUAAAUAGGAUUGUCCACUUUAGUACACUAGAAUGUAAUUACUUUGCUUAUUACUCAUUUAUAAAAAUGAGCCAUCUCUACAUACAGUGUCCACUCAAAGGAAGAAUAAAGAAAGUAUAGGGAAAUGGGAAUAAGCAACUAUAAAUGAAAACCAAAAACUAUUUUAAGAAUAUUGGAUUAUUUCAUAAAACAAAUAACUGAACAUCUCUAUUUUAGGAACAAUUAGAACAAAAUCACUAUAGAUGGUGACUGCAGUCAGGAAAUUAAAAGAUGCUUAUUCCUUGGAAGAAAAGUUAUGACCAACCUAGACAGCAUAUUAAAAAGCAGAGACAUUACUUUGCCAACAAAGGUACGUCUAGUCAAGACUAUGGUUUUACCAAGUCAAGUAUGGAUAUGAGAGUUGGACUAUAAAGAAAGCUGGGUGCUUGAGAAUUAAUGCUUUUGAGCUGUGGUGUUGGAGAAGACCCUUGAGAGUCCCUUGGACUACCAGAAGAUCCAACCAGUCCAUCCUAAAGGAAAUCAGUCCUGAAUAUUCAUUGGAAGGACUGAUGCUGAAACUGAAACUCCAACACUUUGGUCAUCUGAUGUGAAGAACUGACUCAUUGGAAAAAACCCUGAUUCUGGGAAAGAUUGAGGGCAGGAGGAGAAGAGGAUGACAGAGGAUGAGAUGGUUGGAUGGCAUCACUGACUCAAUGGACAUGAGUUUGAGCAAGCUCCGGGAGUUGGUGAUGGACAGGGAGACCUAGUGUGCUGCAGUCCAUGGGGUCUCAAAGAGUCAGAAAUGACUGAGUGACUGAACUGAACUGAAGAACUGGUUUACUGUUGGAGACUUCAGCAGCAGCUGUGUCCAACUCUUUGGGGCUCCAAGGACUGUAGCCUGCCCGGCUCCUCUACCCACGGAAUUUUCCAGAAUUUGGCAAGAACACUGGGACGGGUUGCCAUUUCCUACUCCAGGGGUUUUCCUGACCCCGGAAUCAAACUUGUGUUUCCUGUGUCUCCUGCAUUGGCAGGUGUAUUCUUUAUCACUGAGCCAACAGGGAAACCAGUUAAGCAUGGACAUAUAUCUAGGUCCUGGCCAAUGUGAUACCAGCAGAAAUACAAUAUUGGAGGAGACG